rnacentral:lncRNA from 1 species
UUCCGAUCUACUCCCUCCGUUCGGAAUUACUUGUCUCGAAAAUGGAUGUAUCUAGAACUAAAAUACGUCUAGAUACAUCCAUUUCUGCGACAAGUAAUUCCGAACGGAGGAAGUAUGUUAUUCUUCAUCUGCGGCGAUUGCUGUUCUGGUGUGCUGGUCCUAUGGGGCCUUAGCACGACGACUUCCCAACUGUCUACUACAACAAGUUGUGUCCGACACUGACGAUGGAGGGGCGAUGACGGCGGCGCGCCUUCGGCUCGCUUCAGUGCUUGUAGUCGUCGCUAGCUGGUCUACGGAUCUGGAUGUAAUUUUUAUUAUUUUUGAUAUUCAUUGUACUGUCAUGAUUGAAGAUGAAUAGAUCGGAAGAUUUCUAAAAAAAACUAUGGAUGGAUAAAUAUCAUAUGUAGCAUGUGCUGGAAACGUCGGUAGGUUCCUUCCUUCCUUCCUUGGCCUGUCCAGCUAAUUGCGUCGUCAACGUUGUGCGGCGAUGCGUUGGAGCAUUCUAUAAUUCGUCUUCUCCCUUCUACUUCCCACCAACAUCAAUCAUGGACUCGUGUCCUUUUCCAUCCACCUGUUUGGCGUAUUACCACCGCACGUGAGCUGUCCUCCGUGUCAUGGUUAUCAUCUUACGCGCGGAAGGAUGUCCAUUCAUUUAGUCAGCCCAUGCGAAAUUCAACGUAAAUGCAAGUAGCAGAGUUACCAUAUUUGCAGUCGUUACAUGCAAGUAUGCAACAGGCUUGGUAAUAUUUUGGAGGCUGGCGAGGUGAUGUGGGGAAACUCGCUCAGAGUCAUCAUUUCUCAUCCUUGGAAACAUUUCUUCUUCUUUUUAUUUAAACACUUUGAUUAAAGAUUUGCAAUAUUUUAAAAUUAGUCAUGCACAUAUCUUCAGCAAGUUACAUGAACAAAGCAUUAAACCAACAUGUACAAGUCCGAUGUGUGCACCUUGCUCCCCUUCGAUGGCAAGUGACACCGCUAGGAGGAGUGUGCCUUACUUGAUCCAAACAACCUGCCAGCGGUUGCGCAUAUUUUGUAUGCCCCAUCGAUUUGUAAGAAAUUUGAUAAUAUGGUCCGUUUGAUACCUUUCAAUAUUUUGCAUUCGUUUGAUCUUUCUCAGUAACCAUGUCAAGAGUAGUCUCUUGAAUCAUGCCCCCACACACAUAGAAGACUUUUUCUACUUCAUUGACAAUUCUCCUCCCAGCUCUGGUGUGACUUAAUUGGUUAUACCUGGCAAUGGCGGGUUCUUUGCGUCGUUACCCUGAUGGCGGCAUUGCUCAGAGUUUGCUUAGAUUGGAUCUCCAGGGUGAAAACCCACGAUCCGCGUGGUUAUUGGAUCUGGCGACAGCGACGCUUUGUGUCGUUUCCUUCUUGAAGGCGUUGCUUUUGGAGAACCCUUCUCGCAGUCCUUGGGAUGUCAAAAGAUGGUUGGCACCGAUGGUUACUGUUGUAUAUCGUCAAUUGUUGUUUUCCUUGCUUCAUUUUUUUUCUUCCUCCGCCUAGGCAUAGCAUUGGUCUUUGUAUGACUUUGCACUCUGCCGGGGUGGUUAUUCAUGUGUGUGCUGUGUUGACUGUGUGCAUCCUAAUUAUGCAGAGGCCAGGUGUGUACUCAUUAUGAUUAUAUCCCUCGAUGCUACUCUAUGAGUCAAUAUAAAACACCCUUUAUCGAAAAAAUAUCGAACUCUAUUGCAUACGAGUACUCUAUUGAAUUUAACUGUUUUGUACUGUUUUUGUGGCACUACCCGGUGUAUAGGAGCAAGCAUUUAUUUCACUCAGAUUAUUUUAUUUUUUCAUCACACGGCCAAUUCUCCCAUACUUUUAGUCCGAUUUUAAAAUUUGUAACACUUUUAACUUUGAACUAAUGAUUUGAUUUAGAAUCCAUUUGCAGAUUCAUGUCCAUGUCAUUUAAAUCUCUAAAACAAGAUCAAACUUGAACAUGUUCUGAACAAGUUUAAAUUCAAAUCUGAUGCCAUAAUGAAACUUAUAUGAAAUGUGAGACGAUACGACAAUGAAACCGGAGUGAACCAAUAAUGAAAACAUGCAAUAGAUAAUGUAAUGAACCAUAAUAAAACUUAUAUCAAGCUUGAGAUGAAACAUGGAUGAAUUGUGGAAUGAAACAAUAACAGAAACAUGCAAGGAGGAAUGUAUGAACAAAUACUGAAAACAUAUAAAUUGAAAUGGUAUGGAAAUGAUAUCGUAUAGAAAAUAUGUGAAGAGGACACUUUUAGUGCCCAACCUAACCAUGAAAGAUAAUUUAACAAGAUGAUAUGAAACUUAUUUGAAAACUCUAAAAAUAGAAAUGAAAUCUGAAUGCAAUAGUAUUGAAAUCCGGAAUGAAAAAUUAGCAAAACCAUGUAAUAGAAAAAAUAAUGAAACAUAUAAAAAUAUGAUGAAACACACAUGUAAUAGUUUCAUAUAAGUUUUAAUAUGGUUCAUAAUUUGAAUUUGAAUUUUUUUCAAAAGUGUUCAAAAUUGAUAUUGUUUUGAAGAUUUAAAUAUUUUGAAUGCUAAUAUUUAAACAGUUUGUCAAUCGGAUAUUUGGUUCAAAAGAUAUAAUUGGUACAAACUAUAUAAUCAAACCUAAAAGCAGCAUGGGUGUAACUAUGUGUGGGUUGGUUCAAAAAAUGGCUACCUUUUGACUACAAAACAUACCCACGAGUCACUUUGCUGUGGUGGCUAAUUGCUAGUUCCGGCAAAGAAAAGGCUAAUUCUAGUUGUACAACACAUGUCAUAGUAAUAGUAUAGCAAUUGAUAAUACUUAUCUUGUAUGUAUACAUGCAUGGCGUGCAUGUAGGACACGGUAAAACCCGAUUCCGCGAAUGUAUCCUUUUGUACGUCUAGCAUCCCUUUUUCCUGUUUUCCUUCCGUCCCUGGCGGCUGGAACCCUAGCCGCCGCCAGAGGAGGCUGAUCUUCCAACGCCGCUCUCCGGCGGCUCCCCUCCGCCGGCGACCUCGGUCGUCGGUGGUGAGGGGGGUCGCCGGAUCCACACGUGUGGAUCGCUUUUACUCUCUCGUACUUUAGGUUUUUAGGUUGUUCAUCGUCUUUGCUCCGGCGGCGACGAUGACAAUGCUGAAUAAAGAUUCUUCAGGUCCUUCACUGACGAGGUCAUCGGUCCUAUGGUUGGGGUGGAUUUGAAAACCAGACUGUUCAAGCAAGGAUGGCGUGAAGGCGGCGGCAUCCUCGUGGUGGACCUGUGUCCUCGGGCUCCGUCGUUGCGACGGCGUUUGCUCCAGCGUCGGCGCGGAGCUUGGGAGGUAGUCCAGGAGCGGAUGCAGAUUGUGGUCUGCAUCAACGACAUCUGGAAGACGGAGCAUGUGCUGGGCUCGUGGUUCGUGGAUGGCAGAUAUGGUUUCCUCCUUCGGCGUUUUAGUCGUGGUGGGGUGCCAGAUCUGGAGUUCGAUGGCGUGUCCGGGGUGUUGCCCCGGUCUGAUUCGUUCCACGGCAAUGGCUUCACUUUUGGUGAGCCACCUUGAAGGUCCGCAAAGCUGUAUAUCAGCGAUGGAGCCGCGUCGAGCUCGGGUGAGGAGGUGAUCCGUCAUUUUUUUCUUCAGUGACUGCUGCGGUGGUGCCGGAGGCAGGUGACGGGCAUUGGUAUCAAGCUCAGAGAUGUUCUACUAUCUUUUCAGUUUUGUCAUGUCGGAAAAACCGAUUCCGCGAAAAUCCUCUCCGGUUGAAUGUCCAGUAUCCCGCUCGCGGUCGGCAGACAUUUGACAUGUUGUCCGUUUGGUGAAGCUGACUAGAUAUCUCCCACAGCCUUUAACAUGAAGAAGCGUGCACGCUCAGUUUAAAGCUGCUGAAAAAUAUUGGCGAUCAAGCCAGCCUGGGACGACGAUUCUGCUAGACUAAGGGGGCGUUUGGUUCAGGAAUUUUUUAGUCCCAGAGACUAGAAAAAGUCCAUAGGAACCAAACAGGAGGGACUUUUUCUACAGGGACUAGAAAAAGACUCUACUAGAGAGUCUUUUUUUAUUAGUCCCUGGACCGACAUACCCACCUUGCCUCUUCCGGAGAAGGUACCGAAUGCGCCGUAGUUUGUUUGUGAAAAUUGUCACCGAUUGUGAGGCCGCCUCAGAUUACUUCAAGCGUCGUAGAUCCGCUGCCAGUAUCAUGGGGUUUAGUGCGUACCAAAAGAUAUCGACUGCAAUGCGGGUGCUCGCCUAUGGCAUACCCGCGGACUAUACGAACGAGUAUCUUCGCAUUGGACAAGAUACAACCACGGCGCCUGUUCGUAGGUUUGCAAAAUUGGUCAUCCGGUUGUAUGGUGAUGAGUAUAUUCGGGCACCCAACGAGGAAGAUACAAAGAGAUUGAUGGAGAUGAAUGAAAAAAGGGGAUGGCCGGGGAUGCUUGGUAGUCUUGAUUGCAUGCAUUGGAAAUGGAAAAAUUGUCCAAAGGCAUGGCAAGGAAUGUAUUGCGGUAAAAGCCGUGAUGCUACCAUUGUGCUUGAGGCCGUGGCAUCGGAGGACACAUGGAUUUGGCAUGCAUUUUUUGGUUUGCCGGAAACACUCAAUGAUAUCAGUGUGCUCAAUAGAUCUCCUUUGUUCAAAAGAUUAGUUUCUGGGGAUGCUCCAACUUGCAACUACAAAAUAAUGGACAAUGAGUACUCAAUGGGAUACUAUCUCACCGAUGGAAUUUAUCCCGAUUGGGCAACUCUUGUGAAGUCCAUCAAGGAGAAAAAUGGGGUGCCCUUAACCAGAAAAGAGGCUCAUUUCACCAAGGCACAAGAGGCAGCCCGCAAGGAUAUUGAGAGAGCUUUCGGUGUUUUGCAAGCAAGAUUUGCCAUAGUUCGGGGUCCAGCUCGUUUUUGGGACAAAAAAACCUUGGAGAACAUCAUGAAAUGUGGUGUGAUUCUACACAACAUGAUCAUCGAGGAUGAGAGAGGGUUAAAACUGCCUUGUUUCUAUGACAAUGUUGGUACUCGUGUGCAACCGGAAAGAAACCCUUGUCGCGUACAAGCUUUUCUUGAAGCACAUCGUCAGAUUGAGGAUGCAAAUACUCAUGGUCAGCUCCGGGAUGAUCUAGUAGAGCACCAGUGGCAGUUGGCUGGGCGGCGCCAAGGCCUAUGAUCUACCUUUGUUUACUUUUCUAUGUCCUAUUUGAUUCGAACAAUUAUUAUAAUUUGCUUCAAAACAUUGUUGUAAUAAAUUGAAUGAUUAUUAUGUGUUUGAAAGUACUAUUCGAUGUUAUUGAGAUGAUGAAAAUUGUGAUAUGUCAAAUGACAGUUUAAGGGUUGGGGUUGGGGCAAAAACUAGAACCCUCAAACCCAACCCUUAUAACGCCCCUGUUUUUCAACUCUUAAAAGUGUUAAAAAUGGCCAAUUCUUAAUCCUUAAAACUAGUUUUAGAUUUAAGGGUUUGAGGACUUUACUAGACAUGCUCUAAAGGGGUGCUCCAGUCAGCUACAGCUGCCUAGCCCUAGCGGAGCUCAGUUCCACGUGUCGAUAUGUCUCUCUGUAUCUGCCUCCAAAAUCCCCUAUAUAUACCCCGUUCGAGCUAAAUAACCCUUCAUCCAAACAAGCGAACACAAGCUACUAGCCAGUACUUGGAGAAACCAACAAUGGCGCCGCUCGCAGCCCGGAGGCCAGCCUGCCUCCUGGCCCUCCUCUCCGUCGCCGCGGCCUUAUUCCUGACCCCGACGGCCUUGGCGGCGGGGGGAAAGACCGGCCAGGUGACGGUGUUCUGGGGACGGAACAAGGCCGAGGGCUCCCUGCGUGAGGCCUGCGACUCCGGUAUGUACACCAUGGUCACCAUGUCCUUCCUCGACGUCUUCGGCGCCAACGGCAAGUACCACCUCGACCUCUCCGGCCAUGACCUCUCCUCCGUCGGCGCCGACAUCAAGCACUGCCAGUCCAAGGGCGUCCCUGUCUCCCUCUCCAUCGGCGGCUACGGCACCGGCUACUCGCUGCCGUCCAACCGCUCCGCGCUCGACCUCUUCGACCACCUCUGGAACUCCUACUUCGGCGGGUCCAAGCCGAGCGUCCCCCGCCCCUUCGGCGACGCGUGGCUCGACGGCGUCGACCUCUUCCUGGAGCACGGCACGCCGGCGGACCGCUACGACGUGCUGGCGCUGGAGCUGGCCAAGCACAACAUCCGCGGGGGCCCGGGGAAGCCGCUGCACCUGACGGCGACGGUCCGGUGCGGGUACCCGCCGGCGGCGCACGUGGGGCGGGCGCUGGCGACGGGGAUCUUCGAGCGCGUCCACGUGAGGACCUACGAGAGCGACAAGUGGUGCAACCAGAACCUUGGGUGGGAGGGCUCGUGGGACAAGUGGACGGCGGCGUACCCGGCCACCCGGUUCUACGUCGGGCUCACGGCGGACGACAAGUCCCACCAGUGGGUACACCCCAAGAACGUCUACUACGGCGUCGCGCCGGUGGCGCAGAAGAAGGACAACUACGGCGGCAUCAUGCUCUGGGACCGAUACUUCGACAAGCAGACCAACUACAGCAGCUUGAUCAAGUACUACGCCUGAGCUCCUGUACUUCCACAAGCCACGCUUCUUGCAUCACCGUCGGUUUGAUCCUGAUGUACUGUUGCAAACGAGAACAAAGUGAGGCUUGUACUUGGAUAUAAUAAAUAAAUAAUUGAACAGUUGGUCGUACAGAUCUCUGGUUUAAUCAUCAACUCCAUCACUUAAUUGCUUGUGUUUUUAUCUGUAGUUGAGUGAUACUUCCUCCAUCUCAAAAUAAGGCCCUGUUUGGAGGGACCAUCUCAAAAUAAGGCCCUGUUUGGAUCCCUCCG